rnacentral:piRNA from 1 species
UUCAAUAAUCCGUUCCACAGAGAGGCUC